GGCCCCGUAGUUCAGCUGGAUAGAACACAGGUUUCCUAAACCUGGUGUCGGAGGUUCGAGUCCUCUCGGGGCCGCAA
rnacentral:tRNA from 1 species